ACUCAAAUGAAUUGACGGGGGCCCGCACAAGCGGUGGAGCAUGUGGUUCAAUUCGACGCAACGCGAAGAACCUUACCCAGGCUUGAACAGCGAGUGACCAGCGACGAAAGUCGCCUCCCGCAAGGGCACUCGUAGAGGUGCUGCAUGGCUGUCGUCAGCUCGUGUCGUGAGAUGUUGGGUUAAGUCCCGCAACGAGCGCAACCCUUGUUUGCUGUUGCCAUCACGUUAUGGUGGGCACUCUGCAAAGACUGCCGGUGAUAAACCGGAGGAAGGUGGGGAUGACGUCAAGUCAGCAUGGCCUUUAUGUCUGGGGCUACACACGUGCUACAAUGGCCGGUACAAACCGUCGCGAUACCGCAAGGUGGAGCUAAUCGGAGAAAGCCGGUCUCAGUUCGGAUAGCAGGCUGCAACUCGCCUGCUUGAAGUUGGAAUCGCUAGUAAUCGCGGAUCAGCACGCCGCGGUGAAUACGUUCCCGGGCCUUGUACACACCGCCCGU
rnacentral:rRNA from 1 species